CACGAAGGGGCGCAGCGUUGCCGAAUUAUUGGGCGUAAAGAGCUCGUAGGCGGUCUGUUGCGUCCGCUGUGAAAACUCGGGGCUUAACCCCGAGCCUGCAGUGGAUACGGGCAGACUAGAGGUAGGUAGGGGAGAAUGGAAUUCCCGGUGUAGCGGUGAAAUGCGCAGAUAUCGGGAGGACACCGGUGGCGAAGGCGGUUCUCUGGGCCUUACCUGACGCUGAGGAGCGAAGGCCAGGGGAGCAAACGGG
rnacentral:rRNA from 1 species